CCAUCUCUUAAAUCAAUUUUUUAUUAAAAACAAACGUAAAAGAAAAGGAAACAAACGUUUGUUUAAUAAUAAAUUGAUUGAUCAAGAGAUGGAUUCGUUCAUUUUCAUUUUUAUUUUCAUCCU
rnacentral:sRNA from 1 species